ensembl:lncRNA
GCUAAACUGUUUAAAAAAAUAAAUUAAAUAAAAUAAAAUACCCAAUCUAAGUUAAUAACAUAUACCGAUUAAACAUACUGUUUAAAAUAAUACUUUACAAUCCAAGCAGCAUUCAAGUUAUUCUCAGAGAUAAUUUAAUUGCAGUAUGGAGUCUGGUCUGCAUAUGGUAGUUACAAUGUAAUAGCAUUGUAAUCACAUAAACAAUGCUAGAAGAACAGAGCAAUAGAAUCAUGAUUAUGAUAUUCCUAUAAUUAAAUUGCAAAAAUUAUGGUAAAAAUGAUAUUUUAUCCUCUACAGAGUACUGUGUGCAGUUAUUAUUCUAGAUUCAAAUUCUACAAUUAUAAAUCCAUUCAUACAUUAAUGUGUGUGUGUGUGGGGGGGGUAAUUCCCUAAUGAUUAAUGAUUAUUUGGUUAUGCAAAUCAAGGCUCAUUUAUUAGCAAACAUUAAUCUAAAACUAAAAUCUAAAGCAUCAAACAGCAAAUACUAAAACAAUAAUAUGUUGCUGUGGAAACUAUGACACACAUAAAGAGGAGUAUUUGUAUUAUUUGAGCCCCAUAGUGGUAAUCGUUUUUACAAAACAAAGCAAUGUGAUAAACAUGGGCUGUUCUCAAAAGGCUAAAUUAUAAGGUAAGAUUAUGAAAAACAUAUACGUAAAAUCUAUAACUUGUAUUAUUUUAACAUGUACAUGAAAUUUACAGAUGCUAUAUUUGUAUGUUUUAAUAGUUUCUACCAGAAUUGUAAUUAUUUACUGAUUAUUACUAUACAUUUUUAAUGUAAUUUCCUCAGUCAUGACAGUCAAUCCAUAAAUACUACCCUAUGUCUGUAAUCACUGACAAACAUCUUGGAGUAUUACACUGUACUGUUAUUAUUAACAGAGUGAUAUUACAAAAUUGCAUAAUCAAGCUUCAUCAAACUUAUACAGCCAAUAGCAAGACAUGUCAUCUCUGAGACUUAUAGAUCUUAAUUUACCGUUUUUCAGUCGCACAUCUAAUAAACUCUAUUGCACUUGUGUAAGAAAGCACACAAUAGCAACAUUUGAUUUGCAUGCUUUCUCUAUCUCAUCCGCAGAGAAGCCAUGUACACAAAGACAUCUCUUUAGGGUUAACAAAGCAGACGAGCACAUCACAGCAUUUCAGCUUUAACAACUUUGGCUGGAAUUUGUUUAACCAUGGUCUAAAGGACACAUUUCAUUUGUUUAGUUAGACUGGAAAAAAUUGUAAUGAAUAACUAGGUUCUAUAGAAGUUAUUUAUUUAUUUGUUUAUUUAUUAAGUUUUCUUUCUCUCUUCAAAAUUACUUUGUCAAAUUGACUAAAUAUCUCAACACUAAAAAUGCUUUGCAAACAUGUAACAGAAAAUAAAUUUUUAAAGGUGCAUUAUUUUCUUGCUUAAUUUAAACCUCUAUAAUUUGUUCAAAUAUAGCCUGAGCAUUGUAAUAGAUAUAUGUGUCUUUUUUAUAGACAUCUAAAAAGGUAAAAGUGCAACGCUGUUUUACGACAUCAUGUGAACAUGAAUAUAAAAAUUAGUAGUCUUUAUUUUAUCAUUUAAAAAAUAAUGAAACAAAUGUCACAGAGGAAUUGACAGGUUAAAUGCAUUCAGUCUAGGCUCAGUUGACAAGGUCAGUAUCUUUUCAUUCAGGGGUGGUUUGAAUUUUUUUUCCAGAAACCUCUCCCAAAUGACUAAAGAAAAAACAUUCAGUCAUCAUUACAUAGAUCACCAUUGACCUCAAAUACCGAAACAUCAAAAGACUAGGUCAGAGAGCUUCUGGUGAACUUUCACCCAACUCACCACCCAACAUUUCUACAUUUACAAUAUUAGGCAGUGAAUGAGAGUAACUGUGUAUAUAAACCAGGGUGAAUAACAUCUUCCCGGCUUCAAAACCAUAAAAUACAUAAAGAGAUGUCUUUCUUUGUCUCUCAUACAAUAUAAUUUCCAUCUCCUCUCUCCAAAUUCACCAUAUUUGAUUUUAACAAGGUUAAUUUAUUACUAUAUUUAUUUUUGCCAUGUUUCCAUUGAUCAAUGGCAUCUGCAAUAACAAGUUAUUGACUAUUUGUCAUGAAAUUUUUGAAAGCAGAGAGGUUUUCCCUAUUUUUCAAUUUCUUGAAUCUACCACACACCUCUCUUCCCUGCAUAUGAAGUGUCAGCAGCGUUCCUCCAGCACAUGAAUCUGGCUUCAACUUUUAUUUUCAACUGCACUCCCAGUCAUUCCACACACUGCAUACAUAUCUAAACUGGCUGAUUUACACUGCUUACAUCAAAGGGACUUUCCUAUGUAGCUGCAUAUAACUUUCCUAUAUAACAGCACAUGCGACAACUGGAAUUCAAACAUUUCUGCUGAUUUCUGCACUACACUAACACAGUUUAGCUCAUCAAUUGCUCAGUUGACUAAAUCUGAUGCAAGGCAAACAUGUUAUUCUUGGAGGGGAAUUAAUCUAACAUCUGAUGCAAUGUAUCAGUAAGUCCACAUAACUGAUACUUGUCCAAAAUUGCUAUUUGAUGAUGUAGGAAGAACUGUCAGUGCCAGACAUGGAGAAAUCCUAUUACUAUUUUUAGUUAUUUAGGAAGCUUAACCUUAAAAGCCAUUCAAUUUUAUAGAAACCUUUUUACAACCUGAGACACGAGAUAUCAGACAUAUUAUUAUUUAUUAUUAUUAUUAUUAUUAUUAUUAUUAUUAUUAUUAAUUCAACUGGAUUUUAUUAGGUUUACACAGAGGAAGUAGCAAGAAUCCAUACUAACCCCACCCAUAACCCUAAUGUUAAUGUUAAUCAUGACCAAAGGAAUUUGAGUUGUGCAAAUUGUUACGUAUUUUAUACAUUUUUACCAAAAAUUCGAACAAAAUGGAGCCCAUACUGGAUGUUUUUUUUGUAAGUUAGUCUGACACUGUUGUUAUUGGUUCCAGUGUAUUGUUGUGACACCAUGCUGAUACCAAACCAUUAAAUGCAGUACAGGCCUAAUUUUAAUUACCUAGUUAAUGGGAUGGAAAAUGGAAUUCACCAAUUUGAGAAAGGAUUUACCCAAUUGAUGGACUAUACAAGCAAAUGUAAUAUUAAAUUAAAGCUGCAAGCAGUGUUUAAAGGGGCCAAGCACCAAAGGCACAGCAAGUGCAAUGCGGAGCCUGAAGAACACAAAGAGGAGGAAAAAGUGUGUACAUUAAUGAAUAAAAGAUAGGUUCAGAAACACAGCUGAGAAUAAGAUGAACAGGAAAUGAACAGAACAGAGACAUUUAUUAGCAUGGCAAGAGAUUGAAAGUUUAGUGUAAUGCUGAGCCACAAAAGAAAGGAACUGAAAGACAAAACAUUACACAGACUUUUAAGAAUUUGCACCACACAGAAAUUGAACCCAGGAUCUUUAGUAUUGAUGCUUGUCAUUUAUCACAGUGCACCACAUACGUAACGAAGCAGAAAAAACAAAUUUCGGAGAAUGUUUUCAAAAGUUAUGUUUUUUUUUUUUUUUUUUACAAAAAAACCUUAUAUCUCUAGAACACUAGGUGGCACUGCAUUCAACUUUCUCAGGUAUCUAGAGGACAUGCUAUGAAUGAUCCCUACGAAAUUGUGCCGAUAUGUCAAAUACUUGAAAAGAUAUUACAAUAUAUAAGAAAUUUCAAAAUGGCGGACAGGCGAUUUGCCCAAUCCUGGCAAAAUUCAUAUACACGGAUUCGGCAUGACCCACUGAAUCUGUGCACACCAAGCUCAAAAUUUUCUGACAAAGCAUUCAAAAGUUAUAAGCAAAAAAUUUCCUUUUUAAAAUCUCAUGACCUUUAGGUGGCGCUGUUCUCAAAUUUGGCAUGAACCCUCAGAUUAUGCUGCUGAUGAAGACUACCAAGUUUCGUUACAAUUGAUCAAAGUCUGGCCAAGACACUGCCUGUGAACCAAUUUUGGGUCAACAUAAUUAAAUUUGCGACAUCAUAACUUUUGAACACAUAUGAAUAUCAAAGUUCUGUUCAGUCAUUUCUGUGCAGCUCUGUCCAAUGAUCAUCUGAGCCAAUUUCAGUAAGAAUUGGACCAAAUUUGAAUGAGAAGUAAUGAAAAAACUGAAUACUUUACAUUUCAAAGUGGUGACUACUGUAAUGGGUGGGGUCUUAAUGUAAGAAAUGUAUUGUGAUCAGCAUGAGGAGAGUAAUCUGAUGAACUAAAUUGCUUUUCUCUAGGACCAAGUUUUCAACAAUUAUAACCAUUUGAAAAGUGAACUAGUGGUGGUGCUAUAGAGUUGGUCUUAGAGACCCCAUAAUUGGUCCAGAUACUAUUCAUGGUCAUGUCUAUGAGUGUGCCAAAUUUCAUAAUUUUCCUACUUAUGGUUCAUAGGGCUGCCAUAGACUAGCAAUGGGGUGGAAGAAGAAGAAGAAGAAGAAGAAGAAGAAGAAGAAGAAGAAGAAGAAGAAAACUAACAGAUACAAUAAGUGCCUACGCACUUUUGGUGCUUGGCCCCUAAAAAACAGGCACUGUAUAUUAAGUAAACAAAUUAGAUAAAUGAAAAAUAGUUCAGGGCAACACUGUGCUCAAAUAUGUUAUGAAGGGAAAAUGGACAAUUUUUCUGCACAGGUAUUUUAAUUAGCUACAGAGCAACUUGUGUUGGUUUUAAUUACUAUCUCUCCUCCAAAAUCAUGUUAAUGAUAUUGCUAGUAAUAUUAGAUUCCUGUGAUAUUGCAAUUAUAUAUUGAAUGGUUUAAAGCAAGAUUUAUAAUUAUCAGUAACAUAUAAAAGGCUCUAGUGUAUGUGUGUGUGUGUGUGUGUGUGUGUGUGUGUGUGUGUGUGUGUGUGUGUGUGAUAACAUGCUUAUUUAACAUUUGUCCAUGCUCAAGAACCCCAUGAAGAGACAUAAUGACACAGCCUUCCUUGUCCUUUAUAUUCAUGCUGUAGAAAACUAGACUACAUUACAGACCACACACCAUUCAAAUCCAUCACUGAAUUAAUCAGCCAAAUAGAAAUGAAAAAUAUCAGCAGCCUUGCAGGGCUACAACAGCAAGACAUUUCCCACUGUGAGCAGACACCACAGUCCUCAGAGCACCACAGGUGGGUCUCUUUGUAUCCCCUCCCGAUUGUGCCCCAUUUUGGGAAAGCCCCUCGGCAGCAGGCUGCAACUGUCUCUAACUGAAACCUGAAAUACAGGCCUGAGCUCUUGAUUUUCCCACUGCACCCGGGGGAUUGAUUCCCAGGGAUCUGAGCUAAACCCUCUUAAAUGUCCUCCUGGCUAUUAUCUUUCUGUUUCAGCUGAAAUUCUCAGCAUUCAGUAUGGGGUCAGGGUGUACAGGAAUGCUCAAGGUUUGACAAACAUCCCAGCUUUUAUAUUAUUGCCAGUUCUAGUAGGCAUGUUUAAUACACACAUACACACUCACAGAGGCAAGCACAUGCACCCUUACACUCACACAUGCACUCAGUCACCCACACAUGUACAGCUACACCCCACCUACACAAAUACCUAUAUCCAAACUCCCACACACUCAUACAUGCACACUCACUCUUCUGGGCAAACACAUGCGAAUGCACGUUUAGACACAUUUGCACUAAAACUCACAUCCACCCACUCACUCGUGUGGAGGCACAAUAAGUUUUGCAGGCUAGUGGAGCUUUUCUCUGAUCUGGUUUCCUCUGGUUGGGAACAGACAAUAAAACAAACAACCAUCCCCAGUGAAUGUAUCCUGUGGGUUGGAGCAGCUGCUGUUGAGUUUGAGUGGAUUAGGGCAAGAGCAGAAAGGUGUGUGUGUGUGUGUGUGUGUGUGUGUGUGUG